rnacentral:tRNA from 1 species
UCUACUAAAGUCUAUUAAGAUGAAAAGUUGUAAACUUUUAGGAUUAGAGUAGUAAGAA